rnacentral:rRNA from 1 species
AACGAACGCUGGCGGCAGGCCUAACACAUGCAAGUCGAGCGGACCUUUCGGGGUCAGCGGCGGACGGGUGAGUAACGCGUGGGAAUAUGCCCUUCUCUACGGAAUAGUCCUGGGAAACUGGGGGUAAUACCGUAUACGCCCUUUGGGGGAAAGAUUUAUCGGGGAAGGAUUAGCCCGCGUUGGAUUAGGUAGUUGGUGGGGUAAUGGCCUACCAAGCCGACGAUCCAUAGCUGGUUUGAGAGGAUGAUCAGCCACACUGGGACUGAGACACGGCCCAGACUCCUACGGGAGGCAGCAGUAGGGAAUCUUAGACAAUGGGGGCAACCCUGAUCUAGCCAUGCCGCGUGAGUGAUGAAGGCCUUAGGGUUGUAAAGCUCUUUCAGCUGGGAAGAUAAUGACGGUACCAGCAGAAGAAGCCCCGGCUAACUCCGUG